AGCACCCCAGUUGAUAGAGCUUGGUUUGGCCUUGGAAGCAUCACAAAGACCCUUCAUUUGGGUUAUCAGGGAAGGACGUUAUUCAGAAGCAUUGGAAAAGUGGAUCGAGGAAAAUGGAUUUGAGGAAAGGACAAGUUCUAGAAGCCUUCUCAUUCGGGGCUGGGCUCCUCAAUUGUUAAUAUUAUCACACCCUGCAAUUGGAGGGUUCAUAACACACUGUGGUUGGAACUCUACCUUAGAGGCAAUAUGUGCUGGUGUUCCAAUGAUUACAUGGCCAAUGUUUGGUGAUCAGUUCUUGAAUGAAAGUGUAGUGGUGCACGUUUUGAAAGUUGGAGUAAAGGUUGGGGUGCAAACUCCGAUGAGAUGGGGCAAGGAAGAGGAAAUUGGUGUGGAAGUGAAAAAGGUAGACGUUGAAAGGGCAAUAAUAGAGAUAAUGGAUGUGACAAGUGAAGGUGAAGAAAGAAGAAAAAGAAUAAGAGAAUUGAGCGAGAUGGCUGAAAGAGCCGUGGAGAAAGGGGGAUCCUCUCACUCUAACGUGAACUUGCUUAUCCAGGAUAUCACGCAAAAAAUCCAGAGAGACGUGUGAUAUUCUCAUAUACCUUACACCAAUUUGAUGUAAAAGGUCACAGCUUUUAGUUUUUUACUCAAUUCUCUUUCUUUUAAAUGUUGUUCAUCAUAUUUCUCAAAUUUACUAAUUAUCUAUUAGAUUUUUUUAAAAUAUAUGGUGAGUUAGAUUGUUUUUAUUUUAUUUAUAGAAAAUUUGAAAGUUUGAAAGUUUACACUAGUUAAACUGAUAACUAGUUACACAAUAAAAAUAAACAUCAUUUUCAUUUUUGAGGUUAUCGAGCAUGGCGUAUCGGUUUUAGAGUCAAACUAAAGCAUUACUUGUCAUUUUGCUUUUUGAAUUCAUGCUUAGUGCUUGUUAUUAACUAGGUUUCUUUAAAACAAAUCACCACAAGAUUGUUUUUAAUUCGCAGUAAUUUUCUGGCAGUUUUAAAAUCAUCAGACAUUGUUAUUCUGUCAUUUGUUAUUUUCUAUUAAGACAAUAAUACAAUUAUACGUAAUUAUAUGUAAUUAUAAACUAUUAAUUUGAUAAUAAUAGAAUCUCAUAAUUAACUUUAAUUUGUAAAAAGAGUUUUCAUGCACUUAUAAUAUUUUUUAUACAUAAAAUUAUUUUUAUGUAAAUAAAAAAAAUAAAACAUUAGCAUUUUUUUUCCAUCUUCUUAUAUAUUUUCUUAUAUUUUAUGACUUCGAUUGUAACAAUAGUCAUCAUUAUUUGUUGGUAUUUUUAUAUCAUCUCAAAACGCAUGUAAUAAUGUCUUUUGUUGUGUCAACUCACCAGAAACAUAUUUUCUCGUGGUUAGAAAAAACUUCUAGAAAAUGAUCACCACUAGUUUAGUCACUUGAGUCAUUUGUUCCAAAUAAUUUUUGGUGAAUAAUUGAUGAAUAAGAAAAUCACCACUUUCGUCGAUCAAUAUAAUUAUAUGUAAUGAUUAUGUAUUGACAUUUGAUGACACUUAGUCAAGCGCAUAAUCUUUCUACCGAAAUAAUAAUACUAAAAUAUAGAGUAUAGAGGAGAGGGAUCGGGUUUUUUUCAACUAACUUUAUUUUAUUCUUUACUUUCUAUUUUUUUUUCUUUUAAUUCAAUGUUUUUAUAGUGAAAAGUUCAUCCUUAAUAGUUCAAUUAAUAAAAACUAGGAACGAAGAAUAAGUUAUUUUUAAAGUAAUUUUGUUUAUUCCUCGUAUAUGAAUAAUAAUUUUCAUGUUUAAAAAUAUUAAAUUUUUUAAACGGAAGGAAUAAAGGAACAUGAUAUAUUCAUUAGAGUAAAGAAAUAGUAAUAUUUUUUUUAAAAUAAUCACUAUAUUUGUAAAUUAUAUUAUUAAUAAUUAAAAAACUAUUGAUCCAAAAGUUCUACUUUUUCACCACUUGUAGAAUUAUUCAUUGUGUGUUAUUGUUCUAGUUCUUGUUGUCAUCAACAAAUGGUACUUUAAACAAUUAGAUUUUAACAUUUUUUUACAUGGAAAUCUCAACGAAGUGGUUUAUAUGUAGCUAUUUCCAUGGCAUAAAAAGGAUCACAAUAAGGUUUGGAAAUCGAAUAAAUCUCUACAUGUUCUUAAACUAGCUAGUAGGCAAUGAUACUUCAUGUUGUCGUGUUUAUAAACGUUUUAAGUCUAUUUGUUCUAAUUCUGUUUUUACGAAACUGUGGAUUUUGAAUAGUGGAGUAACCCAUCACAUGAUAUCUGAUUCACAAUUUUUCACACACAUUUCAUCAUUAUUUAUUCUAUUUAUUUUAAAUGUUAAUCUGCCCACGAACUCAACUGCGAUCAUCUCAUCUACGGGCACUUUUUGCAUGGUUACGUUUUGUUGAACUUGGCUACGGAGAGAAUAAUUGGCUCGGGUAAACCAUAUGCAAGCUGACCCUGAUUUAUGGCACAAGCGCCUCGAACAUCCUUUCUCUGACGCGUCUACAACUUGUAUCUUCAUUACUGCGUAUAAGUAUAAAUCUCAUUUUCAUUCAUAAUAAUUGUAGUAUUUGUCCAAAGCUAAACAGAUAAGACUACCAUUUCCUUUAAGCAAAAUAAAAUCUCAUAUUGUCCAUUUAAUCUAUUGCAUUGUGACAUUUAGGGUCAUCAUAAAAUCCCAACUCAUUUUGGAAAAUAGGUUUUUUUUUCUCACUCACUAUAGUCUAUGACUAUUUCUUAUGAAUCACAAAUCUGAAACCAACAUCUCUUAACAUCAUUAAUUACAUUUGCACAAAACUAAUUUCACACAUCUAUUAAAACCAUUUGUGUUGACCACGGAUUCAAAUUUAUUUUAAUGCCUAAUUUUUUUCUCAAAAAAAACUAUUGAAUGUCAAUGCACUUGUGUUUACACUCUCAACAAAAUGGGAUAGUAGAACCAACCGUAGAUACAUUUUAAACACAGCACAAGGAUACCUAGAAAAUUCUUCCGUAGAUAAAUGGAUUUUUUUUUUAAUGUAAAGACAUCUUACUUUAAUAAAAUAAUGUAUAUAUAUAUAGUUAAAAUCAUUUUUCAAGAGAAAAGAGAACUUACCCAAUACUUAUAAUUAUUUUACAAUUUACCUAAUCGGAUAACAUUUUCAAGAAAUUACACCUUAAUGCUAAAUUUUCUAAAGGUUUCCUUCGUAAUGUAAUAGCUCAAAACUAUGAUUAUUUGUUACUAAAACAUUCAAAAAGUAUGAUUAUUUUUUACUAAACAAUCAAAGCUAUAUAAGGAUAAUUAUGAAACGUUGAACAAUGAUGCAGCGUAUGAAUCUGUGAAACAAAAAAGGCACGUGAACCACACCUUUACAGCACUGAUGCCUCGUAUCCACCACAACUUCAUUAAACCGGUAACUGAUAAUCCUAAUUUUUUAUAUAAUUAUAUUAUAAUUUUAAUAUAUUUUAAUAUUAUUUAAUUAUAAAUUUACUUUUUAUUAUAUAUUUUCACUUAAAAUAAUCCAACUAGAGUUACGUAUGCUCUUACAUCAUUUACCAGUAAAUAAUAAUUUUGUAGUAGCCUACAUCACUCUUAUAAUAAAGGAUCAUGGACACUGCAGAGUGAAAACCCCAAAACCAAACCAAGAGAGAGGAGAGAUCUGCACUGCUACCAAUUUUUCAUCUGCCUCUUUGGAGCCAUGGUUCUCCUAACAAACAGCCCUCACUUUGUAUUAUUCCCCAUGAUGGCUCAAGGUCACAUCAUCCCCAUGAUGGACAUUGCAAGAAUAUUGGCACAGCGUGGUGUGAUUAUCACCUUAUUCACAACCCCAAAAAAUGCAUCACGUUUCAGUUCUGUUAUAUCUCGAGCUGUUUCAACAGGCCUCAAAAUCCGUGUCCUACAACUUCCUUUUCCAUCAAAAGAAGCAGGGCUACCUGAAGGGUGUGAGAAUUUGGACAUGGUAACUUCAAAUGAUAUUUCCAAAAUUUUCCAUGUCAUCCACAUGCUCCAAAAGCCAGCAGAGGAGUUCUUUGAGACACUUACGCCCAAACCAAGUUGCAUAAUCUCUGACUUCUGCAUUCCUUGGACCGCUGAAUUAGCCGAAAACUAUCACAUUCCAAGGAUUUCUUUCCACGGAUUUUCAUGUUUUUGCCUCCAGUGCCGGUACGUGAUACAUACUUCAAAGUUUUGUAAAAGCAUCACUUCAGAAUCCAAAUACUUCACUAUUCCCGGCAUACCCGACCAAAUUCAAGUUACCAGAGAGCAGUUACCAGGAUCACUUGGCAAGGAUUUGGAUGACUUUAAAGAUCAGGUGCGUCAUGCUGAAAUGAAGUCUUAUGGGGUUAUCAUAAAUAGUUUUGAAGAGUUAGAGAAGGCAUAUGUGAGGGAUUACAAGAAGGUAAGAAAUAAUAAGGCGUGGUGCAUUGGUCCUGUUUCAUUGUGCAACAAAGAUGGUUUGGAUAAGUCUCAAAGAGGCAACCAGGCCUCAAUUAACGAGCACCAUUGCUUGACGUGGCUAAAUUUGCAGCAACCCAAGUCAGUGGUCUAUGUUUGUUUUGGAAGCAUAUGCAACUUGAUUACUUCAGAACUUGUGGAGUUGGCCUUGGCCUUGGAAGAUACAAAAAGGCCAUUUGUAUGGGUCAUUAGGGAGGGAAGUCAGUUCCAAGGACUAGAAAAGUGGAUCUCUGAAGAAGGGUUCGAGGAAAGGACCAAAGGGAGAGGCCUUAUAAUUCGAGGUUGGGCACCACAAGUGAUAAUAUUAUCACACCCUUCCAUUGGAGGAUUCUUAACACACUGCGGUUGGAAUUCAACACUUGAAGGGAUAAAUGGUGGAGUGCCACUGGUUACCUGGCCUCUAUUUGGUGAUCAGUUUUUGAAUGAGAAGCUUGUUACUGAUGUGUUGAAGAUUGGAGUGAGCGUUGGGGUAGAGGUUCCAGUGAAAUGGGGAGAGGAAGAGAAGAGGGGUGUGUUGGUGAAGAAGGAUGAUAUUAAGAGGGCAAUAUGCAUGGUGAUGGAUGAAGAUGGAGAAGAAGGCAAAGAGAGAAGAGAAAGGGUAAGGAAACUGAGUGAGAUGGGAAAGAGAGCCGUUGAAGAAGGAGGCUCUUCUCAUCUUGAUAUCACUUUGCUAAUCCAAGACAUUAUGCAACAAUCAACUACCCAAGAGGCUUAAUUUGUUUUUAUCUACAGUGAUAUAUUGCAUACCUACAUAUUAUUAACCCAAAUCUAUAAGAGGAUGCAAUUUUGACGCCUAAAAGAUUCUCGAUUCAUGUUGACGUAUUUCUUUAAUUUUUACGUUCAUAUUAACCCUAUUUUAUAUGGUGGUGAUGCUGUGUUUCGAUGUGUUGAUUUACUAUUGAAGUGGAUGGAAGAAUCUGCCCCACUCAUAGAAUAUAAAAGAACUGAUGGUGGGAUUGGGAAAUUUACCCUUUGUCCAGUUAAGGUCUUAAUCAUAAUUAAUUAUAGUUUAGUGAUUGAUGGAUUACAGUACUUGCCUUUCCAACUCCAAAUAAACUCAUUUCUCCCAUCACUUUUUUUUUGCAACCAACUUUACCUCUUCUACUUCUAUUUAUAAUUUUUUUAGUGUUGAUACCUUGAUAAUAAUGUACUAAAUUAUUGAAAAAAUAUAUUUUUUUGUUUGAAAUAAAGAAAUCUUAAAAUUAUAUUUACCGAAUCACUUAUGUUUUUCAAUUUGUAGUUUUGAAAGGAACAUUUUUCAUUUUUUUUAUUAACACUAACAUCCAUUAUCCAUUAUACCUAGGUAAUAUAAUACAUUCACUUUCAAAAUAAUAUACCUUAAAAAAAUGCAGUUUAAUUUUUUUUUUAUCUAUUUAAUGAAAUAUUAUAUUAAUGUUAACUUAUAAAUAUCUUAUCUCUUAUUUUAAAUAAAUAAAAAAUAUUAAUCUUAAUACAUUUAAAACAAAGAUAUUUUUAUAAAUCAAUAAAUUAUAUUAAAUUUAAUUUAUUUUUCAUUCACAUCAAUCAUAUUUAUUAUAAAUUUUUUACCUCAUUCAACUCAUUUUUCUUACAUCUAAAAACAACCUUGAUUUUCAUUUUUUAAUAAAUUCUUAAAAAAAAGAGAAAAAGUUUGAUUUGUGUUUGUGCAAUGACAAAUUGUACACGUUCUCUUGCGCUUAAUUAUUUGUCUUAUUGUGUGACUUCACUCAUCUAGAUCUGCACGUGAUACAUCAUUAUCACUUUAGCUUUAGUUACACUUUUGUCUUGUGAUUUCUUUACUUUUAUUUUGUCUAAUAUCGUUUUAGGGUUAAUAAAUAGUUUUGUUUUAUCUUGUCUUUUAAAUCAGUUCAAUUCGAUUUGUUUUCUUCUAUAUUAAUUUAAUUGAUUUAAAAUGAUAAGGUUAAUUAACAGUGAUAUGUUUAAAUUGUCAGUAAAAAACUAUUACUAAUCAAUAAAUUUUCAGUAACAUUGUCAUUAUUCAAGACUAUUACUAAUUCAACUUACACAAAAAAAUUAAAUAUCAUCUACUCAAAGCCAAGUACCUUGAAUAACUAAAGAAGCUUUGAUCACUACAUCAGAUUAGUUCUUUUGUCAUAUUAUGAAUUUUAUUUUACUUAUUAUUAUUAUUAUUAUUAAAAAUAUUCUGUAUGUAAUAUUUUAUAUACGAAUAUCAUCCGUAUAUAAUUAUUCUUGUUUCAUGACGCCAAAAUUAUAUACGGAUUAAAUUUGUAUGUAAUCACUUUUGGCUUACAUACGAAAAAAUCCAUAUGUAACGUCUAUUUACAUAUUGAAUUAAAUCUUUAUGUAAAUAUUUGUAUGUAGUCACUUUUGACUUAUAUACAGAAAAAUUCGUAUGUAAUCACUUUUGUUUUUAUAUAUGAAAAAAAUCGUAUGUAAUCAUUUAUGUUCUUACAUACGAAAAACAUCCGAAUGUAAUGUCUAUUUCAUAAUAAAUAAAAUUCGAAUGUAAAUAUUCAUAUGUAAUGCUCAUUUUACAUACGAAUUAAGAUCUAUAUGUAAUAAUUGGUAUGUAAGUAGACAAUUUCUUGUAGUGAAAAAUACUGAUUAAAAAAUUAUAAAUGAUUUUUUUUAUAAAUGUAUAUUCAUUGUAAUUUUUAACACUCUAAAGUUUUAUAUAUUUUUAAGGUUAACUUAAUUAAUAAAACCCGAAAUUGUUUGAGAAAGAAAUUAUUACUUCCGUAAAUUGAAAAUAAUAAUUACUUGAAUAAUGUAUUCUAUCUUGUAAUAUUUGAAUUAGAAUUGUAGUUUAUACGACAGCUUAAAAUCGUCACAGUAAUUAAUAAAUUCUAUAAUUAAAAAAAUUACAAAAUUAAAAAUUCAAUUACAAUAAAACAAAUACAAGAUUAAGAAUUUAAUUAGAUUAUGUACUCAGUACUUAUCUAUUAACAUACAUAGUAAAUGUUUUGAAAAGAUUUUCAUCAUUGAUUGUUGACAUAGGACAUACAUUUAAACUUUAACAAACAAACUUUGAUUGGAUAUUUGUUAAUGACCAGUGGUUCAUUGUAUAUCACAUUAUUUAUCUAUAUAUUCGUGAUUUAAAAAGGUGCCUAGGCAUUAUUCUUGUUCAAAUUCUGAUUGGUGACUCUCAUGGACAGCUAUGGUGUGAUGAAAAAGAGAAAUACAUAAAAGUAACAAACAAAAUCCUAGUUCAUGUAUUACUAGCCAAGAGAUCUGAAAUCACGACAAAAAAGGUCAAAAUUAUUGACUCAGUAGUGUGGCAUUAUUCAAUGUGCUUGCGUAAGCGCUUACAUGAACAUUCACUAAUACAUUACAAACUCACAACAUCAACCAAUCGAAAUCGAAUUAUUUGAUGUAAUAGAUUUAGAAAUAAAUAUAUAUAAUAAAUAAUAAAUUUAUAAUUAAAUAAUAUAAAUAAAUAUUAAAAUAAUAGUAUUGAAAAUUAUAAUGUAAUUAUAUAAAAGAUUGGAGUUGGAAAUAUAUCAUUAGGCGUGUUUGUAUUAUGUGACAGACCCACAUUUAAGAACACACCAUUUAAAGGCAGCGUAAUUCAUAGAUUGUGCAUUGCCAUUUUAGUGCAAAACUAUGUCUUCCCAAGAACAAAGGCCACACUUUGUCCUGAUUCCAUUGAUGGCCCAAGGCCACUUGAUCCCCAUGAUGGACUGGGCGAAAUUAUUGGUGCACCACGGUGUUACUGUGACUGUAGUCACCACGCCGCAUAACGCAGCUCGUUUCAGACCUAUCUUCGAUCGUUAUGUUGAGAAUGAGAAUGGACUUGCUAUUAAAUUAGUUCAAGUUCGAUUCCCAUGUGAAGAAGCAGGACUGCCCGAAGGAUGCGAGAAUAUCGAUAUGAUACCUUCACUUGGCACGGCCAGGACUUUCUUCGAAGCAACAAACCUUCUACAGCAACCCGUGGAAAAACUCUUUGGAGAGUUAUCACCAUCACCAAGCUGCAUAAUCUCCGAUAUGUGUUUGCCAUUUACAUACCAUAUCGCCAAAAAAUUCAAUAUCCCAAGGAUUUCUUUUCUUGGUGUAAGUUGCUUUUGUCUUCUGUGUCAUCAUAAUAUUCUCAUCCAUAAUGUCAGGGACAACGUAGCAUCGGACUCAGAGUACUUUGUUGUGCCUGAUUUCCCUGACAAGAUUGAGAUUACCAUAGCACAGAGUGGUGUGUCGAUGAAUGAAAAGUGGGAACAGUUUCGUGAAGAAAUUGCGGUUGCUGAAAAGAGUGCUUAUGGUAUAAUCAUGAAUUCUUUUGAAGAGUUGGAGCCAGCAUAUGCAAGGGAUUACAAGAAGGUAAAAAAUGAUAAAAUGUGGUGUAUAGGACCUGUAUCACUUAUUAACAAGGAUGACUUGGAUAAGGCUGAAAGAGGUAGGGGCUCAAUCGAUGUGUCCCAAUAUCUAAAAUGGCUUGAUUGUGAGAAGGCAGGGAGUGUAAUCUAUGCAUGCCUUGGAAGCCUAUGCAAUUUAACAGCACCCCAGUUGAUAGAGCUUGGUUUGGCCUUGGAAGCAUCACAAAGACCCUUCAUUUGGGUUAUCAGGGAAGGACGUUAUUCAGAAGCAUUGGAAAAGUGGAUCGAGGAAAAUGGAUUUGAGGAAAGGACAAGUUCUAGAAGCCUUCUCAUUCGGGGGUGGGCUCCUCAAUUGUUGAUAUUAUCACACCCUGCAAUUGGAGGCUUCAUAACACACUGUGGUUGGAACUCUACCUUAGAAGCAAUAUGUGCUGGUGUUCCAAUGAUUACAUGGCCAAUGUUUGGUGAUCAGUUCUUGAAUGAAAGUUUAGUGGUUCAAGUUCUAAACGUUGGAGUAAAGGUUGGGGUGGAAACUCCAAUGACAUGGGGCCAGGAAGAGGAAAUGGGUUUGGAAGUGAAAAAGGAAGACGUUGAAA
rnacentral:lncRNA from 1 species